rnacentral:rRNA from 1 species
GACGAACCGUGCGAACGUUAUUCGGAAUCACUGGGCUUAAAGCGCGUGUAGGCGGAUGGGUGCGUCGGCCGUUGAAAGCCCCCGGCUCAACCGGGGAACGGGCGCCGAAACGACCUGUCUGGAGGGACGUAGGGGGACCUGGAACUUCCGGUGGAGCGGUGAAAUGCGUUGAGAUCGGAAGGAACGCCCGUGGCGAAAGCGAGGUCCUGGACGUUUUCUGACGCUGAGACGCGAAAGCUAGGGGAGCAAA